rnacentral:tRNA from 1 species
UCUAAUAUGGCAGAUAAGUGCAAUAGAUUUAAGCUCUAUAUAUAAAGGUAAUUCCUUUUAUUAGAA